rnacentral:lncRNA from 14 species
AUGGCAUGGAUAGGCCACACCGUGUCAGGGACAGGUCCCACCAUGGCACAGCCACAUCAAACCACAGCAGGGACAUGUCAAACCAUGGCUCAGCCACAUCACACUGCGGCAGGGACAUGUCAAACCAUGGCCCAGCCACAUCACACUGCGGCAGGGACGCACCACACCCUGGCAGAGCCACGUCACACCAUGGCACAGCACGUCACACCAUGGCACAGCCACGUCACACCAUGGCACAGCACGUCACACCAUGGCACAGCCAUGGCACACCGUGGCACAGCCACUUCACACCGUGGCACAGCCACGUCACACCAUGGCACAGCCAUGUCACACCGUGGCACAGCCACUUCACACCGUGGCACAGCACGUCACACCAUGGCACAGCCACGUCACACCAUGGCACAGCACGUCACACCAUGGCACAGCCAUGGCACACCAUGGCACAGCCACGUCACACCAUGGCACAGCCAUGUCGCACCCUGGCACAGCCACAUGGCACCUCACCAAAGCCAGGCCACACCCUGGCAGAGCCACACCAGACCUCGGCAGAGCCACGCAGGCUCCUCUGCCACCGCGCAACCAAACACCGACACGGCGGAUGUGGCACCAGCCCUGCCUGCAGAGCCACGGCCCCUCUGCCGUGCGUCCCGCGCACCCUGUCCCACUGAGGCCACGGGGCCACGCUCUUCUUGGGAGCCACGAGCCCCCACGCACCCCUGGGAGCACGGCACGGGCCUGGCCGUGGCCUGGGGAAGCAGCACAAGGCAAAGAGCUGGAGAGAGCCGAGGCGGUUAGUGCCGGGAGAGCCAGAGGCAGCCGGGAGCCCCAUGUGGCUCUCACCUCGCCCUCAGCCUUGCUGUUCUCCCUGAUGACUUUGAUCCAGGCCAGCAUGUCUUCCCGAUCCUCUGCCUGAAAGAGAUAUUCACAGAAGUCAGCGGUCGUCAGGCGGAAGACGUGCUUCCUCUUGGUCUCGCUGUAGGAGAUGUCCACCAGGCACGCUUGGAUGCUGAUCGGCGGCUCCUCCUCACCUGGGGCCGGGGCGCAGGUCACCGCCUCCCGCCUGUCCUUGCACAGGUACAGCGAGUGGGUGCGCAGCACGGCGAAGACGCGCUUCCACUGCCGGAUGCCUCCCCCGACCUUCUGCGGGGAGAAGGGAUGGAGCGCCGGCCUCAGGGAGCGGCCCGCGGGGCCACGGGGCUCCGGGCUGGGGGCACACCCCGCCUACCUUCCCCUUUUUGGUGAGGAUCUGCUUGCAGUGGAGCCAGCCCUCCUUCCUCACGGCGCUGAACGGCACGUCCGAGAGGUCGGAGGUUGAGUGUCUUUUGGAACGGGCGUCUUCCGACGUGCCCAGGCUGUCCAGAGACUGCGAGGGGCCGGAGGGAGGCGUUGGGGUGAGGCCAUGGGCACCCUCUGCUCCACCAGGGAACCCCCCGUUGUUUUAGGGCAGCCCCCAGCGCGGCACUCACCCCGUCGGUGAAGAAGCUCCUCAGCAUGCGGAGGCUGGGGACCCGGCUGGGCAUCCUCCUGCAGGGAGAGAGCCCCCGUCAGCGGGAGGGGUGGGAGCCGGGGGGCGGCGGGAGAGGGAGGGGGCUCCAGCCCUACCUUAGGAUCUUCCCCUCGUCCCGAAAUGUGUUCAGACCGUCGUCGCAGGACUUGGAGCGCUCGGUGGUGAUGGCCAGCAGGUAGGAGGAGCGGCGGCCGGCCUUGAUGCUGCCUGCGGUGGGGAGGGGGCAAACCCGCCCUGCUCAGCCCGGGGGCGCCGGGCAGGGCUCUGGGACGGGGGCUGCUCCCCUCCGAGGCUCCCAGGGCCGUUCCCCCUGCCCAGCACUUACUGCAGUCCUGGGAGUAGUGCCGGGACAGGGCAAAGGCGAAGGUGGCGCGACGCAGGGCUGGUGGCCAUGGCAGGUGCCGAGUUCAUGGCGCUGGACACCACCGAGGAGGCCGGGACGUGCUUGGCCUUCAGGUCGAUGCUGGGGCUGGUGGGUUCGUCUGUGAGGGGGGUGGGCAGUGUUGGGGGAGGGUGGGUGGGGCAGGGGAAGGCCCUGCUGGGACCCCCCCGCGGUGUCAGGGCUGGGCUGGGACACGCUGCCACCCCCAGGAG